rnacentral:rRNA from 1 species
UGAGGAAUAUUCGGCAAUGGGGGCAACCCUGACCGAGCAACGCCGCGUGGAGGAUGACGGUUUUUGGAUUGUAAACUCCUUUUCUCAGGGAAGAGUGAGGACGGUACCUGAGGAAUAAGUCACGGCUAACUACGUGCCAGCAGCCGCGGUAAUACGUAGGUGGCAAGCGUUAUCCGGAAUUACUGGGCGUAAAGCGCACGCAGGUGGCUUGCUAAGAUUGACGUGAAACCUUCUGGCUUAACUGGAAGACGUCGUUGAUGACUGGCAGGCUUGAGACGAGGAGAGGGGUGCAGAAUUCCCGGUGUAGUGGUGGAAUGCGUAGAUAUCGGGAGGAAUACCAGUGGCGAAAGCGGCACCCUGGCCUUAGUCUGACGCUCAGGCGCGAAAGCGUGGGGAGCGAACGG